CGCGAACUUAGGUCAGGCGGGAUUACCCUUGGAUUUUGUGCAUUUCAAUAAGCAGAGAAAAAGAAACUUACAAGGACUCCCUUAGUAUCGGUGAGCAAAUCGGUAAUGACCCAUCCUUAGAAUUAGGCAGCUCUAUUAUUGAACUUGUAGCCUGGAGAAGCAUCCUCAAUGGUGGAUCGGGCCCAAGUCUCCUAGAAGGGGGCGCUAGAGAGAGUGAGAUCUCCUUUAUGUGUGGACCAUUUCGUACCAUGAGGUGCUAUCUAUGAGUUGGGUUGUUUUGGAAUACAACCCAAAUUAGGCGGUGAAUUCCAUCCAAUGGUAAAUACAGGCAAAAAACCGAUCCAAACAAGUACGACGAUGGAAUAAUGAAAAGGACUUUGAAAAGAUAGUCAAAGAGUGCUUGAAGUUAUUGGGAGAGAAGCAUAUUAGGGCCAACAAUGUAACCUGAUAGGAUGUGUAAUGGUUAUGAGCCGGUUCGUUGAUCAAAUAGAGGCAUGGAUGAAAGUGGAUUAGGGGGUCUGCCAAAGCAUAGGCUGUCAAUACGCUCGUGGAAUGCAAUCUUCUAGAUUAUACCAGAUAGCGUACGAUUCUGGCAUGCUGCAAUGUCUACGGGCUCUAGAUGCUAGCCUGUGGGCUACCCAUUUGACCCAUCUUAAAACAUAAACCAAGGAGUCUGACAUGUGUGUGAGUCAACAAAUGAGUAAACCCAUAAGGCAUAAGGAAGAUGAUUGGUAUGAUCCCCUUGAGGGCUUUGCUGCCGACCGACCCUGAUCUUUUGAGAAGGUUUCGAGUGUAAGCAUACCUAUCGGGACCCAAAUGAUGGUGAACCAUGCCUGAGCGGGGUGAAGCUAGGGGAAACUCUAGUAGAGGCCUGCAGUGACAUUGAAGUGCAAGUCAUUCAUCUUGCUUGGGUAUAGGGGUGAAAGACUAAUCAAACCAUCUAGUACCUGGUUCCCUCUGAAGUUUCCCUCAAGAUAGUUGGAGCUUGCGUUCGAGUUCUAUUAGGUAAAGACAAUUAUUAGAGGCCUCUGGGGCGCAAGGCCCUCGACAUAUUCUCAAACUAUAAAUAGGUAGAAUGGUGUGACUGCUUUGUUGAGCCGUGCUACGGAAUCAAGAGCUCCAAGUGGAAUAUUUUUUAUAAGCAAAACUGGCGAUGCGAGAUGAAUCGAAAGCUAGGUUACGAUGCCAAACUGCAUGCAAACCUAGAUCUCACAAAGGGUGUUAGUCAAUUAAGACAACAGGACGAUGGUUAUUGAAGUCGAAAUCUUCCAAGGAGUGUGUAACUACUUACCUGCCGAAUGAACUAUCCCCAAAAAUGGCUGGUGCUUUAGCGCGUGACCUACACCCAACUAUCGGGGCAAGUGCCAGGCCUCGAUGAGUAGAAGGGCGUAGCGGCAACUUCAAUACCUUUAGAACAAGCUCGGGUGGAGCUGUCGUUGCUGCAGAUCAUAGUGGUAGUAGCAAAAUCUUCAAAUAAGAACUUUGAAGGCCAAAUAAAGGAGAGGUUCCAUAUGAAUGAUACAUGUAUAUGGGUUGUCGAUCCUAAUGGUCAGGGUAACCCAUACAUAUAGAGUGUUUCAUGUGUACACGAAAAAAGAUUCGGGACUUGGUAGUCAGUGGUAAUGUUAGGAAGUCCUGAGACCUCAGCUGGAGCCUCGGGAAGAGUUAUUUUUUCUUCUUAACAACCUUCCCACCUUAGAAUCAGCUCAGUCAGAGGUAGGGCUCCAGAAUAUGGAUGAGCACAAUACACUGUGAGGUGUCCGGUGCACUCCCGGAGGCCCUUUAAAAUAUAGAGGACCAAAUGCCUUCCAUGCUCGAUCAUACUCACAACCGCAGUAGGUAUCCAAGGUGAAUAGCCUUUGGUGAAUGGAAUAAUGUAGGUAUGAGAAGUCAACAAAAUAGAUUUGUAACAUUGGGAUAAGGAUUGGCUUUGAGGUCCGGGUAUGGGGGUCCCAUGCAGAACCCAUCAGCUACUGGUGGACUUCUUAAGCUGCUCCCGUAGUGAGGGCGAGUUACCACACGCCGGUCAGGGGACCAACUGGGAAGAUUUCCUUUAAGGGCCUUCACCACAUGUCGAACAACCAACUCAUAAAGUGUAUGGAAAGGGGAAUCCGACUGUAUAAUUAAAAAAAAGCAUUGUGAUGGUACCAAUGGAUGCUCAUGCAAUGUGAUUUCAUCACAGUGCUCUGAAUGUCACAGUAAUGAAAUUUAACAAUGCACGACUGAAUGGAAAGGGUAACUAUGAAUCUCAUAAGUUAGACAAAUAUCUCGCCAUCUAAUUAGUGACGCGCAUGAAUGGAUUUAUGAUAUUCUCCCUGUCCCUGUCUACUAUCCAACAAAACCACAACCAAGGGAAUGGGUUUGGCAGAAUCAACGGGGAAAGAAGAUCCUGUUGAGCAUGACUCUAGUCUAACUUUUUGAAAUGACUUAAAAGGUGUAGUAUAAGUGGGGACUCAAAGGCAAAAGUGGAAUACCACUACUUUUAAUCUUAUUUUACUUAUUUCGUAAAUCAAAAGUUGGGCACUGCCCCUCUUUUUGGAUCCAAGGAUCACUCUGCAAGCCAAUCAAGGUGGAAGAAAUUUCCAGGCGGGGAGUUUGGCUGGGGUUGCACAUAUAUUAAAAGAUAAUGCUGGUGUCCUCAGAUGAACUCAACGAGUAUAGAAAUAUCAUGUGGAAUAGAAGGGUAAAAACUCAUUUGAUUCUGAUUUCAAGUAUGAAUACGAACCAUGAAAGCAUGGCCUAACAAUAUUUUAGACCUUUAGAAUUUGAAGAUAGAGGUUUCAUAAAAGUUACCACAUGGAUAACUUGCUUGUGACAACCAAGCGUUCAUAGCGACAUUUCUUUUUUAUCCUUCCAUGUCGGCUCUUCCUAUCAUUGUAAAGUAAAAUUCACCAAGUGUUGGAUUGUUCACCCACCAAUAGUGAACAUGAGCUAGGUUUAGACCUUCUUGAGAUAGGUUAGUUUUACCCUACUGAUGUUUGUAUCACAAGAGUAAUUCAACCUAGUACGAGAGAAAUCGUUGAUUCACAUAAUUGGACAUCAAGUUUGGUUUAAAAUCCAGUCGCGUAAUGCUAUCAUCUGCUGGAUUAUGACUGUACGCCUCUAAGUUAGAAGCAACGUAUGCUUUGGCCAUCCUCUUGCUAAACCAAAGUAGGGGCCUCGGCCCUUAAGGGCAUAUGUCGUUGGCAAAGCCAUCACAGAGAAUAGGUUGUGGUGGCCACCUUGAAUUACAAUAUUCAACGGACGAUGGGUAGAAUUCUUUGCAGAAGACUUAAACACGUGACGGGGUAUUAUUAUUAUUAGAGUGGCCUUGUUGCCACGAUCCACUGAGAUUCAGCCUUUUAUCGUGCCAGUUCAU
rnacentral:rRNA from 1 species